rnacentral:RNase_P_RNA from 2 species
AACUUUGAGUAAUCGCGGUCGGCUUAUGUCGGCUGAGGAAAGUCCAUGCUCGCACAGGCUGCGAUGCCUGUAGUGUUCGUGCUCGGUGAAAAAAUAAGCCGGGGAAUCCAAUUUAUUGGAUUACGGCAAGAGAAAGAGCUAAGGCUUCGGCUAUGCUUGAUUAUCUUUGAAAGUGCCACAGCGACGAUGACGUUGUUGGAAACAGCAACGGUGGAACGCGGUAAACCCCUCGAGCGGGCAACCCAAACUACGGUAGGGGCGCUUCACAUAUGGAAAUGAACGAAAUGUGGGGGGAGAGCUUUUGCUCUCGAGAUAGAUGAUUACUACCUUAGUGAGACUUCCUGACCUCACUAAGGCACAAAACAUGGCUUACAGAG